rnacentral:lncRNA from 1 species
GUUGGCCAAUGUGCUUUGUAACAGAGCCAGACUGUUUUCCUAUCUCCCAGGAUUUUACUCUUUAGUUAAAACGUUGGCAAUCCCAAAGCCUUUUCAACCGCAGGAUUGUCAGGUUUAGGUGUCUCAUGUGGCCGCUCUACCUCCAGAUAUAUGCUCUCAAAAGGUGUGGCCUGAUGAAACUAUGGGACCGUUUGGACCUCAAGAUCAGAGGUUCAAGCUUCCUGGGAUCAUAGGUUUUGAUUGUCACCUCAAUGGGACUGCUUCACAGAAGAAAAGCCUGCUUUAUAAAACUUUGCCUGAUGUUCUAGCAGAAACUUUAUCAAGUGAAAGACACAAGUUUGUGAUGACACAAUAUGUGAAUGAAUUUCAGGGUAAUGAUGCACCUGUUGAACAAGAAAUUAACAGUGCAGAAACUUAACUUUGAAAGUGCCAGAGUGGAGUGUGCAAUACAAACGUGUCCAGAAUUGUGGCGAAAAGAUUUUGAAUCACUGUUUCCAGAAGUAGCUAAUAGCAAAUUAAUCAUUCUGACUGUAACACAGAAAACUAAGAAUAAUAUGACUGUUUAGAGUGAAGAAGUAGAAACUGAAAGAGAAGUGCUCUUAGAAAAGUUCAUCAAUGUUGCUAAGGAAAUUUGCUGUACUCUUUGUGCUGAGGGAUAUUGGGCUGACUUUACUGACCCAUCAUCUGGUUUGGCAUUUUUUUGGACCAUAUACAAACAACAAUCUUUUUGAAACUGAUGAAUGCUACCGACAUUUAGGAUUCUCUGUUGAUGACCUUCGAUGCUUAAAGUGAUUCGUCAUAGUCUCUGGGGUACCCGUGUAGUUGUAGGAAGCAUCUUCACUAAUGCAACACCAGACAGCCAUAUUAUGAAGAAAUUAAGUGGAAA